UGGACUGGUGCUCAGAUCCAUUAUUUAUGCAUCAGGGGCCUAUUUUAUAUCCAUAUGUCAUACACUGACUGACGCACAGACAUUUCACCUUUUAUUUAAUAACAUAUUUAUGGUAUAUUUAAGUAAAUGCUUGAAGAUUUGAAAAGGAUGCUUGAAAAGUAAAUAGGAUUUUCCAGUGAAGUGAUGAAAUUCAGUUAGAAAAGUAUAUGAACAGAUGUACACACACACACGCACACAUUCAUACUCGCACACGUACAAUUGCAAACACAAGCACGCAGAUUCAUGUGCACAGACACACACAUACAAAUGCAGGCACACACACACACACACACACACACACGCAUACGCACCCACAAGCAUGCACACACAUGCUCACUCCCUGGAUGUGAAGGUGUGUGUGUCCCUGACAGAUUUACCCCCUGAGCUGCCAAUUGUCAACCCUCUCCCUGGUCCGAGGGCGUCCCCUCUGCCUUGCACCUCUUUAAUAUUCAUCUUAAACGAGGACCACACACUCUCUGAUACACGCAGUGGGUGUGUGUGUGCGUGCGUGCGUGACAUGCUCGAGACACACAGGGUUUUGCAGCGGGGACUCUGGCCUGAUUAUCGUGUUUGCUGUCAUCGCCGUGGGAACAGAAGCCCGGCUCCGAGUAUGUAGGUAAUAUCUCAGUAUGAUUAUCUCCAUGGCGACAUCGCGGGGCCCCCUCCUCGCUACCAGCGUUCCGACAGUGAUCGUAUCCAAUUUUCAUCUUUCGGAAAGCAUACCCUGAUUAUGACGACGUGAGUCAGCCGCCGACCGCUUCAGACGCGGUUAAAUGUGUUUAUGGCGGUUGUCGCCGUUAAAGGUGACCAAUCGGCUCUGCGUAGCCCAGGCGGCGUGAGGCGUGGCGGCGGGCGGGGGGGUGCGGGGUUCCUCUUGGCCUUGAGAGCAGAGCAGAACAGAACCCCUGCCGCUCUCUCCGCUGCCCACGCUCGCGUCCUGGCGUGCCUGUUCUUCUUCAUCCUCCUUUCACAGUGGGUGAGGGGGAGUAAGAACGGGUGGGAGCCGUCACUCCUUCACCUGCGGGGAGUCACAGGAGGAGAACCCGCCUGUCUUCCCCUCAUUCAACCCAGCCUCCCUCCCCCUCUGCCGAGUGCGGAGUGAUGACCUCACAGGGAGCGGCCCCCUGAGUGAAGUGAAGUUCACCGGAAACAAAACUACACACGCGCUCACAAGCAAUUAAACAGACGCCUUCCAGCUCUCAUAAUACAAUACACACUCCUGGGGUGGUCAGCUGACAGGCUUCCAGAUGAUUCCGCAAACUGUGGGAACCGGCUGAAGUUGCGGGAGUUUGUGCCGCGUUUGCGAUCAUUUGGCGUAAGUCGGGCAAACGAAUCCUGCUGCUACCGCAAGUCCCCGAGCAGGCUUUGUGAUCCGUGGCCUUGAAAUGUGAUUUGCGUCGCAGAGCGACGGAUGAGCCUCCCUGUCCCUUUGUUGUAGGAUUUGAAAGCGCCUUAGUUCCGGCAAAGUAACACUGAUCCUUGUUUAUACCGCCAGUACGCAUAUUACUGUGUAACUUUUUUGAUUCCUAUUUUUACUGUCACUGUGGGCCAAUCAGAAUGAAGCAUUUGUCCAAGUUGUCGUGUAAAUAUGGAGCCCUCCAGACCCCAAGAUGUGACUACUGCAGUUCUCCAAAUGUGAUCCUUUUUUGCCUCCCGAACCAUCGUCUUCGCUGUGCAUUGGAACAAAACAAGACUUUGUGUCUAUUCUUGGCAGGUUAAUCCCAGCUUGUUGUUUGAAAUUUCUUAAUGAUUGCCAUAAUAGUGGCUGCUUUAAUCGUCAUUACUUAAUUUCUGAAGGUAAAAACUUUAGUCUCUUUUAAUUUCUUUAUUCUCUGACUUUUUCCAUAUUGAUGGAUGACCAAGGAAGCUUGGCAUGUGUGUCAUCUCAUAUUUAUACCUCAGGAAACAGGAAGUAAUGGAUGACUCCUUAAGAUUUCAUAAAGACUCAGAUAAACUUUUUAAAAACAGUAAAAUAUGUAUGUGGCCCUUCAAAUAUGAAUGAGGGGCAACAAACUUCUAUUAGAUUUCUUAGAAUUUGUCAUUAUAUAAUUUAUGUUUGCCACUCAUAAGAGCUCUAGCACUGGUCCUUGAUUUUAAUUGAUGAACAUUGAUGGCAGUGGAGUUCAUAAAAUGACCAUGAAUUAAUUUUCACUGUGUUCAGAUUAAUGCUCACGCCUUUCAGUCAUUUUAAAUAGACAUGGAAUGUGAACUCUAUGACCAAAGCUGAAAAUAUUCAACAUCUUGAACAUUUGUGUCAUUCAAAAACAUCAAUUAGUGGUGUGUAAGUUCUAACUAUUUUCCUCUGGGAGAUAAAUGCAUUGCUCUCAAUACAUCACCUUUUUUUGUUUGCAUCAAGCAAGACAAAAUGCAAAUGAUUCAUUUUUCAAGUUGCAUUAAUACUCACUUUUUUAAUGCAGUUUUCCAUAAGAGAAAUGAAAUACACAAGCAUUUACAGUGCAGUAUCCUCAUAAGGGUAAAAAGUGUGCUAAGAAUACCGAAAAACUAGUUUAGAAAACUUUAUUAAAGGCACAUUGUUAUGUCUUUGCAUUUGAAAUCCUUGCAAUGGGAUGGGAGACUUUCUACAUCUCUCAGUUUGUUGCUUGGGGGUCUGGAAUUGGAUAUUCUGUCUGGUUUGCCAGUUGGAUAUUUUACCUCUGGUGGGGAGUAGUCAGUUCCUGCAGGGGAGACCAGAUAUCACAAGGCCGAGUUGCUGCAGUACACAAUGUGUUUCUCCUCUCAUUGAGGGUGGGUGCUGGGUGGUGAGAGUGUUUGGAGUGCAUCCUGGUAGCUGGAAAUGGCCUGUCAAUAAUGAUCCAGCAGGCACAUUUCUGAGUUCACUGUCUGUUCUGACAGAGUCAAGGAUGUUUCUCCUGCCUUGUUGGUAUGCCUUCUGCCAUUGAGCGAUAAGAUGUUUAGUGUCAGAGGUUAUCCUAGGUUUUUCUGUGAGGUGUUUUUGAUGGUCACCAGUGGGGGGUAGUGAUCACAGGCAGUGCUGAAUGUCUGGUAGAAGGCAUUAUUCUUAGUAACUGUGUCAGGUGCCUCGUGGACCUCACUCCUUGGGUGAGUAGCGGUGUAUUUUCUGAACUGGGCAAUAUUUGUGUCUCAUCUGUCGGUUUUUGGUUGUGGUACAUUUUUUUUUUUUUUUCCUGAGAGCUUUGGGUAUCCAUAAUACUGAAUUAUGACCACUCAGCUCUAUUAGGCAUAGGAACUAGGAUGGACUAUAAUAUUGGUCCAUGUCAGUAAUGAUUAGAUCGCCGCUGCUGUUGUGCUUAAGCACCUGUGUAAGACACACAGAGGUUUUGAAUCAAACCUGUCGAAGUCUCUCAUGAGCACAGUGCUGCUGUUGGAGUGUUCAGUUCUUUUCAGAACAGUUGCUGUUUGGAUCUGGUCCUGGAGUAGGUAGACAGACAGCACGUACACCUGGAGCAAUUAGGGUUUGGGGCAGAUAGUGGGGUCUUGCCCAAACCCAAACACACUCCAAGUCUGCUGGAGUUUAGUGAGCUGUCAAGAGGGAACUCUUCCUGAUGUGAAUUGAAAUGCCACCACCCCGGCAGUCAGUGUGAAAUUUUGAGUAAUAUGUUUAGCCAUCUGUUUGGUAUAGUGCCCCAGGGUGAUCACGGUAAAGCCAAGCCUCUGUAGCGAAGUAGCAAUGUCAGAACAGUUAUCUGUAACCCAUUCAUCUCGUUGGGGGGGGGGGGGGGGUGAGGAAAUACAUUGGUGUAGUUUGGGUUGGGCUUGGCUUGGAACGAGUAUUAGUGUUUAAUAGUUUUAAGAACAAAGUUACUUACAGUUCUUAUUAUGCUAGGAUGUAGCUUGGCUUGUUUUAGUCUAUGUCCAUAGUCUAUAUCCUAUGUUUUUUAUUUACCUUUGAAAAUUGAUGCCUCCUUUCUGUCUUUUUUCCCGUGGCUUGUGCUGUAAAACUUCAUCAGAUGUUCCUUGAGGACUGGAUUUAGGUGUGGUCUUUUGGUCUGCAGGCUGUAGCGAGUAAGCGAGUGGUGAAUCUAAAUAUUUGCCAUAUUUGUCAGAAAAGAAUCUCAAAAACAUCUCAUGAAAACAGUCUAAAUCCAUGGAUUAUAUUGUGUUAGAGCCAGCUGGUAUCACUCAGAGGGGUUUGUAGACCUUACGAUUGUAGUAUGGGAUUGAAAGCAAUCCCAGGCUUGAUCCUUGCAUUUGUUAAAGUAGGCCAGAUUUUUGAGAAUCCAUAAAAAUCUCAACAAGUGAAUUGCAUUCACAAAUUUUUAGGCGAUCAUACUUGGCGGUAGUAAAAGAUUCCAUUGUACUGAACAUUACUCAAAAUGGCUAUUUUUAAACGUCACUGGAUGAUCAGUACUGGAUGAAAAAUUAUAAUAUGCAUGUGUGUUAUUUGUUUUGCCUUUUUUGUGACUUUGCACACGCGUGUCAGUUCCAACCAGCCACCACAGUGGAGCAGGUCCGAGCUAUCGCCAAAGACAGAGGAUUCACAAGCCUGCAGAUUUUAACAAGCGAGUGCUGCAGAAGGUCUGAUACAGAGCAGCUAGCUCCAUCUGGGCUCGGCAAGUCGGCCUGCUCUGGAGGACUCCUGAAGACAGGAGAGCAAAGGGCCAGUCAAUCAUCACCCAGAUCCCGAGCUAGGGGGGGGUGUCGAUGACAGAUGUCUUCACCCGGGGAAUACGGCUCACGUUGAGCCGAGAUUUAGAGCUGUCGCCGUGAGUCACGUGACCACGAUAUAACCAAUUUGAACGCACCUUGACCCUGUUGCGCAGGUAAAGUCAGGAUCGUAAAUUGUCAGCCCGCUUCGCCUUCUCCGUAACCUUUGCGGAUCCCGCUCACAAAAUGAUUGACAGUUUUGUCCAAACGCCUUCAUCAAAUCCAACACAGAACAGCCCGGCAAGGACUGCAGUCAUUAUUAUGAUAUCUUCAGCUGUAUAAGGCUGACAAGAGAGGUGCCUUCCAUGAAGACUUUAUUAUCGGUGGACUUGUUCAUGUGAAGGAUGGAGAUGGUAACAGAGCAUUGGAGAAGUGGAGAGCAGCACAUUAUGUAGAGAAAUAGAUUCUUGUCGAGCAGGUGCUUAUCUUCAGUCUCAGAUGUGUCUCUUUUGCUCCAGGGUUGAGCCUAGUUUUUUCUGUAAGUCUUUUACUGUAUAACUAUAUAUAAAUGUUAUCUUUGAAAAAGAAACCUUUUCACCAGACUGGAGAGAUUUCACACUGGCUUUGAUUACAGGGGUGUGUGAUCAGAGUGUGUUUAGGUUUGGUCUGCAGAAUAUAAGUAUAGAUCAUAGAGCGAGUAUAUAAAAUGAGUAGUGACAACAUAGCACCGUGUUCGGUUUUAAAUGCUUAAGAGUUAUUUACUGAACUGUUUUUCCCUCUCCGUUUGUGUCUCGAUGUUGAUGAAAUUAGCGUUUCCCUGCAGUCAGAACAGCAGAAGCCCUGCCCAUCUUCCAGCCCAGACUGAACAGAUACAGUACAUCCAUCGUGUAUCUUGGAUUUCCUUUAGGGAUAUGAAUGUUAUAGGGAUAAAGAUUAUCUAUUUACUUGUUGAAGCACAAAUUGUUGUUUGUCUGGCUAACAUUACAAAUAGCCAUUAUAAAUGGGCCUCUGUGCCUUCUUGGUGAUAUUACACUUCUGUAUUCUUGAAACUGACACUGAUGGUUUCCACUUUAGCAUGUCACUGUGGAUAAGACCACAGUGGUUAGAGGUUAUAGUGUAAUGCAAUAGCUAAAACUCUUUAACCCAAAA